rnacentral:rRNA from 1 species
GUUAAGAGAAGCGCCUGGGGAGUACGGCCGCAAGGCUAAAACUCAAAGGAAUAGACGGGGACUCGCACAAGCAGUGGAUCAUGUGGUUUAAUUCGACUCUAAACGAAGAACCUCACCAGGGUUAGAAAUCCAGACGAAUCUCAGAGGAAACUUUGAGAGCUUCACAAGAGCGUCUGGACAGGUGAUGCAUGGCUGUCGUCAGUUCGUGGUUUGAAUUGUUCCCUUAAGUGGGGUAACGAACGCAACCCUUGUCGUGUGUUAUAUGUGUCACACGAGACUACCCAGCUCUGCUGGGAGGAAGCGAGGAUGACGCCAAGUCAGCAUGUCCCUCUGAUACCCUGGGCUACACACAUGAUACAAUGGCCAUUACAAACGGGCGCAAAGGUGAAAGCCGGAGCAAAUCCGAAAAAAGUGGCCCCAGUUCGGAUAGAGGUCUGCAACUCGACCUCUUGAAGCCGGAAUUGCUAGUAAUCGCAGGUCAGCUAUACUGCGGUGAAUACGUUCUCGAGUCUUGUACUCACUGCCCGUCAAGCCAAGGGAGCCGGGAAUACCCGAAGCACCUCCUCGUGGGGUACUAAGGUAAGCUCGGUGACAAGGGUU